CCUAGUAAGCGCGAGUCACUAGCUCGCGUUGAUUACGUCCCUGCCCUUUGUACACACCGCCCGUCGCUACUACCGAUUGAAUGGCUUAGUGAGACUUUCGGAUGUGUUUGGAGCCGCUGGCAACAGCGACACCUUGCGCAGAAGUUAUUCAAACUUGGUCAUUUAGAGGAAGUAAAAGUCGUAACAAGGUUUCCGUAGGUGAACCUGCGGAAGGAUCAUUAAAAAAAAAAUUUAAUGAAUGGUCGGGGGGGAAUUUUUUUGUGCCCUUCGGCUUUAUUCAACCAACCCGCUCUUGUAUUUUGUAUCAAACAAAAAUUUUUAAAAACACUAAUAAAAUAGUAAUGUAAAAAAAAAACUUUCAACAACGGAUCUCUUGGCUCUCGCAUCGAUGAAGAGCGCAGCGAAAUGCGAUAAGUAGUGGKGAAUUGCAGAACUUUGUGAMCCAUCGAAUCUUUGAACCGCAAAUUGCGCCUUUUUCGGAAGGCAUGUCUGUUUGAGGGCACCAUUUAACAAAUAAUGUGCGGUGUUGCGUUUUGCGCGGCGUGCACACGUUGAUGAGCUUUCCAAGGAAAAAUUUUUUUUUUUUUUGGUGGCGCAUAAUGAACAGCGUGAAAGCUUUUCUWAAUUCGAGUGUAGUAAAAACGACGCUUGGGUUUGUGAGAAGCACAUCGCGCAGUGGGUGUGGCGGUACCCAGCCCCAACGCCACUCUUUCUCACGAAAGAAAAGUUUAAUCAUCAAGGGCCUCAAAUCAGACAAGAGUACCCGCUGAACUUAAGCAUAUCAAUAAGCGGAGGAAAAGAAACUAACAAGGAUUCCCCUAGUAACGGCGAGUGAAGCGGGAACAGCUCAAAUUUUAAAUCUGGCUGCUUCSCAGCCCGAGUUGUUAKUUUGAAGGAGUCUGUCGYCAGUGCGACGAUGGCACAAGUCCUUCUGGAACGUGGCAUCGUAGAGGGUGAGAAUCCCGUCUCUGGUCGUUGUUGCGCUKGCACAACGGCAGACAUCCCGAAGAGUCGAGUUUGUUUGGGAUUGCAGCUYCAAAUGGGUGGUAAACCUCCAUCCUAAAGGGCUAAAUAAUUGGCGAAGAGAACCGAUAGCGAACAAGUACCGUGAGGGAAAGAUGAAAAGAACUUUGAAAAGAGAGUAAAACAGUACGUGAAAUUGUUGAAAGGGAAACGCUUGAAGUCAGUCGUGCCGGCGGUGAUUCAGCUCGCUUCGCAGAGCGGGCGUAUUUCCUCGCAUGGCAGGUCAGCGUCAGUUUCGCGCGUCGUGAAAGGGCUCGGGUAAGGUGACUCUCUCCGGGGAGUGUUAUAGACCUGAGCAGAUGCGCUGCGCGGGACUGAGGAUUGCAGCGGACACCCUUCGGGGCGCGGCGACCGACCCCUGCUUCAUCACCCUUGUCCGAUAGCGUGCUAACGGGCCGGGGAGCGGUGGGCGCACCGGGUUGGCAAGCCGGCGGCUCCGCUAAGGACGCUGAUGUAAUGGCUUUAAACGACCCGUCUUGAAACACGGACCAAGGA
rnacentral:rRNA from 1 species